CAGCCCCUCGAGUGGUGGGGAUGAUUAUUUGGCCUAAAGCGUACGUAGCCGGCCGGGUAAGUCUCCCGUUAAAUCCAACGUCUCAAGCGUCGGACUGCGGGAGAUACUGCCUGGCUAGAGAGUGGGAGAGGUCAGCGGUAUUCUGGGGGUAGGGGCGAAAUCCUUUGAUCCCCGGAGGACCACCAGUGGCGAAGGCAGCUGACUAGAACACGUCUGACGGUCAGUGACGAAAGCUGGGGUAGCGAACCGGAUUAGAUACCCGAGUAGUCC
rnacentral:rRNA from 1 species